rnacentral:rRNA from 1 species
UACGAAGGGGGCUAGCGUUGCUCGGAAUUACUGGGCGUAAAGGGCGCGUAGGCGGACAGUUUAGUCGGGGGUGAAAGCCCGGGGCUCAACCUCGGAAUUGCCUUCGAUACUGGCUGUCUUGAGUACGGGAGAGGUGUGUGGAACUCCGAGUGUAGAGGUGAAAUUCGUAGAUAUUCGGAAGAACACCAGUGGCGAAGGCGACACACUGGCCCGUUACUGACGCUGAGGUGCGAAAGCGUGGGGAGCAAACAGG